GCCAGGCGUGGUGGUGUGUGCCUAUAGUCCCAGCUACUUGGGAGGCUGAGGUGGGAGGAUCGCUUGAGCCCAGGAGUUCUGGGCUGUAGUGCGCUAUGCCGAUCGGGUGUCUGCACUAAGUUUGGCAUCAAUAUGGCGACCUCCCGGGAGCAGGGGACCACCAGGUUGCCUAAGGAGGGGUGAACCAGCCCAGGUUGGAAAUGGGGCAGGUCAAAAUUCCUGUGCUGACCAGUAGUGGGAUUGCACCUGUAAAUAGCCACUGCACUCCAGCCUGGGAAACAAAGCAGAGUAAAAGUUU
rnacentral:SRP_RNA from 1 species